CGGAUCAGCAUGCCGCGGUGAAUACGUUCCCGGGCCUUGUACACACCGCCCGUCACACCAUGGGAGCCGGUAAUACCCGAAGUCAGUAGUCCAACCUCGUGAGGACGCUGCCGAAGGUAGGAUUGGCACUGGGGUGAAGUCGUAACAAGGUAAC
rnacentral:rRNA from 1 species